rnacentral:rRNA from 1 species
AUUGAACGCUGGCGGCAGGCCUAACACAUGCAAGUCGAACGGUAACAGGGAGCAGCUUGCUGCUCUGCUGACGAGUGGCGGACGGGUGAGUAAUGUCUGGGAAACUGCCUGAUGGAGGGGGAUAACUACUGGAAACGGUAGCUAAUACCGCAUAACGUCUACGGACCAAAGUGGGGGACCUUCGGGCCUCAUGCCAUCAGAUGUGCCCAGAUGGGAUUAGCUAGUAGGUGGGGUAACGGCUCACCUAGGCGACGAUCCCUAGCUGGUCUGAGAGGAUGACCAGCCACACUGGAACUGAGACACGGUCCAGACUCCUACGGGAGGCAGCAGUGGGGAAUAUUGCACAAUGGGCGCAAGCCUGAUGCAGCCAUGCCGCGUGUAUGAAGAAGGCCUUCGGGUUGUAAAGUACUUUCAGCGGGGAGGAAGGCGUUGUGGUUAAUAACCACAGCGAUUGACGUUACCCGCAGAAGAAGCACCGGCUAACUCCGUGCCAGCAGCCGCGGUAAUACGGAGGGUGCAAGCGUUAAUCGGAAUUACUGGGCGUAAAGCGCACGCAGGCGGUCUGUUAAGUCAGAUGUGAAAUCCCCGGGCUCAACCUGGGAACUGCAUUUGAAACUGGCAGGCUUGAGUCUCGUAGAGGGGGGUAGAAUUCCAGGU